rnacentral:rRNA from 1 species
AUUGAACGCUGGCGGCAGGCCUAACACAUGCAAGUCGAGCGGAUGAAGGGAGCUUGCUCCUGGAUUCAGCGGCGGACGGGUGAGUAAUGCCUAGGAAUCUGCCUGGUAGUGGGGGAUAGCGUCCGGAAACGGGCGCUAAUACCGCAUACGUCCUGAGGGAGAAAGUGGGGGAUCUUCGGACCUCACGCUAUCAGAUGAGCCUAGGUCGGAUUAGCUAGUUGGUGGGGUAAAGGCCUACCAAGGCGACGAUCCGUAACUGGUCUGAGAGGAUGAUCAGUCACACUGGAACUGAGACACGGUCCAGACUCCUACGGGAGGCAGCAGUGGGGAAUAUUGGACAAUGGGCGAAAGCCUGAUCCAGCCAUGCCGCGUGUGUGAAGAAGGUCUUCGGAUUGUAAAGCACUUUAAGUUGGGAGGAAGGGCAGUAAGUUAAUACCUUGCUGUUUUGACGUUACCAACGGAAUAAGCACCGGCUAACUUCGUG